CCUACGGGAGGCAGCAGUGGGGAAUAUUGCACAAUGGGGGAAACUCUGAUGCAGCAACGCCGCGUGAAGGAAGACGGUUUUCGGAUUGUAAACUUCUUUUAAGAGGGAAGAGCAGAAGACGGUACCUCUUGAAUAAGCCACGGCUAACUACGUGCCAGCAGCCGCGGUAAUACGUAGGUGGCAAGCGUUGUCCGGAUUUACUGGGUGUAAAGGGCGUGCAGCCGGGAAGACAAGUCAGAUGUGAAAUCCCGCGGCUCAACCGCGGAACUGCAUUUGAAACUGUUUUUCUUGAGUACCGGAGAGGUCAUCGGAAUUCCUUGUGUAGCGGUGAAAUGCGUAGAUAUAAGGAAGAACACCGAUUGCGAAGGCAGCUUACUAAACUGCCACUGACAUUGAUGCUCGAAAGUGUGGGUAUCAAACAGGAUUAGAUACCCCAGUAGUC
rnacentral:rRNA from 1 species